CCUACGGGGGGCUGCAGUGGGGAAUAUUGCACAAUGGGGGAAACCCUGAUGCAGCAACGCCGCGUGAGUGAAGAAGUAUUUCGGUAUGUAAAGCUCUAUCAGCAGGGAAGAAGAUGACGGUACCGGAGUAAGAAGACCCGGCUAACUACGUGACAGCAGCCGCGGUAAUACGUAGGGGGCAGGCGUGAUCCGGAUUUACUGGGGUUAAAGGGAGCGUAGACGGUGGGACAAGUCUGAAGUGAAAGCCAGGGGCUAAACCCCGGGGCUGCUUUGGAAGCUGCCUGACUGGAGUGCUGGAGAGGCAAGCGGAAUUCCUAGUGUAGCGGUGAAAUGCGUAGAUAUUAGGAGGAACACCAGUGGCGAAGGCAGGUUGCUGGACAGUAACUGACGUUGAGGCUCGAAAGCGUGGGGAGCAAACAGGAUUAGAUACCCGAGUAGUC
rnacentral:rRNA from 1 species